GGACCCGCACAAGCGGUGGAGCGUGUUCUUUAAUUCGAGGCUAAACGAAGAACCUUACCAGGGUUUGACAUCCUUAGAAUUUCUCCGAAAGGAGAGAGUGCUUUAUUGAACUAAGUGACAGAUGAUGCAUGGCCGUCGUCAGCUCGUGUCGUGAGAUGUUUGGUUAAGUCCAUCAACGAGCGCAACCCUUGCUGUUAGUUGUAUUUUUCUAGCAGGACUGCCCCCGGUAACGGGGAGGAAGGAGGGGAUGAUGUCAGGUCAGUAUUUCUCUUACACCCUGGGCUAGAAACGCGCUACAAUGGCCGGUACAACGGGCAGCGAAGCAGUAAUGCGGAGCCAAUCCCACCAAAACCGGUCCCAGUUCGGAUAGAGGGCUGAAACUCGCCCUCUUGAGUCGGAAUCGCUAGUAAUCGCAGAUCAGCACGCUG
rnacentral:rRNA from 1 species